UGAGCAAUGGAGGGACGCAGGAGGCUAACGAUGCGCACUAUCGGAUGUGCGUCCAAGCAGCAAGUCUGUCGGCGAGUCAAAUGCUUGCCGGCUCAAGGACAAGCUGUGACGGGUAUGAACGAUUUAUCGUUCUAAGUGAGUGACGUCACACUGCCAAGAAAAGCUUCUAGUUAGAAUCAGACCGCCCGUACCGCAAACCGACACAGGUAGUCGGGUCGAGAAGACCAAGGUGAGCGAGAGAACUCUCGUUAAGGAACUCGGCAAAAUGACCCCGUAACUUCGGGAGAAGGGGUGCUGAUCGCAAGAUCAGCCGCAGUGAAUAGGCCCAGGCGACUGUUUAUCAAAAACACAGGUUUCUGCAAAAUCGUAAGAUGAAGUAUAGGGGCUGACGCCUGCCCGGUGCUGGAAGGUUAAGAGGAUGGGUUAGCGUAAGCGAAGCUCAGAAUUGAAGCCCCAGUAAACGGCGGCCGUAACGAUAACGGUCCUAAGGUAGCGAAAUUCCUUGUCGGGUAAGUUCCGACCCGCACGAAAGGCGUAACGAUCUGGGCACUGUCUCAACGAGAGACUCGGUGAAAUUAUAAUACCCGUGAAGAUGCGGGUUACCCGCGACAGGACGGAAAGACCCCAUGGAGCUUUACUGUAGCUUGAUAUUGGGUGUUUGUACAACUUGUACAGGAUAGGUAGGAGCCGUAGAAGUCGGGACGCUAGUUUCGACGGAGGCAUCGGUGGGAUACUACCCUCGUUGUAUGAACACUCCAACCCACGCCGGCAAUCACGGCGGGAGACAGUGUCAGGUGGGCAGUUUGACUGGGGCGGUCGCCUCCUAAAAGGUAACGGAGGCGCCCAAAGGUUCCCUCAGAAUGGUUGGAAAUCAUUCGCAGAGUGUAAAGGCAUAAGGGAGCUUGACUGCGAGACCUACAAGUCGAGCAGGGACGAAAGUCGGGCUUAGUGAUCCGGUGGUUCCGCAUGGAAGGGCCAUCGCUCAACGGAUAAAAGCUACCCUGGGGAUAACAGGCUUAUCUCCCCCAAGAGUCCACAUCGACGGGGAGGUUUGGCACCUCGAUGUCGGCUCAUCGCAUCCUGGGGCUGUAGUCGGUCCCAAGGGUUGGGCUGUUCGCCCAUUAAAGCGGUACGCGAGCCGGGUUCAGAACGUCGUGAGACAGUUCGGUCCCUAUCCGUCGCGGGCGCAGGAAAUUUGAGAGGAUCUGUCCUUAGUACGAGAGGACCGGGAUGGACAUACCGCUGGUGUACCGGUUGUUCUGCCAAGGGCAUCGCUGGGUAGCUAUGUAUGGAUGAGAUAAACGCUGAAAGCAUCUAAGUGCGAAACUCACCUCGAGAUAAGAUUUCCCACUCCUUUAUGGAGUUAAGACCCCUGAGAGAUGAUCAGGUAGAUAGGAUGGAAGUGGAAGUGCGGCGACGCAUGGAGCGGACCAUUACUAAUCGGUCGAGGACUUAACC
rnacentral:rRNA from 1 species